GAUGAACGCUGGCGGCGUGCCUAAUACAUGCAAGUCGAGCGAACGGACGAGAAGCUUGCUUCUCUGAUGUUAGCGGCGGACGGGUGAGUAACACGUGGAUAACCUACCUAUAAGACUGGGAUAACUUCGGGAAACCGGAGCUAAUACCGGAUAAUAUUUUGAACCGCAUGGUUCAAAAGUGAAAGACGGUCUUGCUGUCACUUAUAGAUGGAUCCGCGCUGCAUUAGCUAGUUGGUAAGGUAACGGCUUACCAAGGCAACGAUGCAUAGCCGACCUGAGAGGGGGAUCGGCCACACUGGAAAGAGAACACGGUCCAGCCCCCUACGGGAGGCAGCAGUGGGGAAUCUUCCGAAAGGGGCGAAAGCCUGACGGAGCAACGCCGGGGGGGUGAUGAAGGUCUUCGGAUCGUAAAACUCUGUUAUUAGGGAAAAACAUAUGUGUAAGUAACUGUGCACAUUUUGACGGUACCUAAUCAAAAAGCCACGGCUAACUACGU
rnacentral:rRNA from 1 species